rnacentral:misc_RNA from 1 species
CAAUAGAUCAGAAACUUGAGUUUGUUUCAGAGGAUACGUGUAAUGGACCAUCAAAAGAGCAAUAUUCACUUGGAUCUGGAAUCAUACAAAAUCAUAAUGCACUAUCAACUAUCACUGUUAAUGAAAACUUGCAACUUUUGUCUGAAGAUGCAGCCAAGAAUUCUCUUACUAACGAUUUGGAAUUACCACAUGAAGAUGCUAGGGAAAGUAGUCAGGUUGGUAAAAGUCCAUGCUCUCAACAAUCUAUGCCUGAACAGACACUUGAGUUUUCUUCUGACAGUGCUUGUUGUGAACCUUCAGUAGAAAGAGGAAAGGCUUGUUUGGACAUUGUAAAAGGUGAAUUAUUGAAAAUCAGUACUCCAUUGUCUAGUUGUACUGCUACCAGGCAUUUCGAGCCACCUCCUGCUCUUGUGGCCAAGAGUUCUAUUAUAUGUUUAGGUCUGCCUCGUGUCAGUGAGAUCAAUGUUCCUGCUACUGAAAAACUACGACCAUCUCAUGAUGAUAUGGAUAAACACUCGAAUCUUGAACAAUCAGAAACGCCAUCUAAAGAUACAGUUAGUAAUUCUAGCCGGGUGGGCUGGAGGGUUAAAAGAACUGCAAAAUCAAGAAAAAAAUAUAUCUUAAGAUCUUUGGUUAGAAGUGAUAGAGUUCUGCAGUCAAGAUCACAAGAAAAACCUAAAGCUCCUGAUUUCAGUGCAAACCUGGCUAAUGUUAG